AAUGUAAUUCAAGGCUUUCGCUUACAUGGUAUUAGAGCUAGGUUUUCUUAACCUUAGCUAACAAUGGCUAGCAGCAGGGACUCUGAGGUUACGUUCGAUGGGGGUUUGAAUGGGCUAGACAAUACAACCUUUCCACUCUCAGUGGAGAAAUUAAACGGGAAAAACUAUCGAGAAUGGGCUCAAUCCAUAAAGUUGGUGAUUGAAGGAAAAGGGAAACUAAGUUACCUUACUGGAGAAAGGAGGAAACCCGAACUUGCUGAUGUUGUUGCCUUGCAAACAUGGAGAUCCAAAAACUCCAUGGUCAUGGCUUGGCUCGUUAACUCGAUGAAGCCAGUGAUUGGUAAAAUAUGCUUGUUGUUACCCACAACGAAGGAUGUCUGGGAUGCCGUUCGCGAAACCUACUCCGAUGUUGAGUGCUAUUCAUAAAUCGUUGACAUCAAAUCUCGGUUGUGGUAGAUGAGGCAAGGUGAUAAGGAAGUCACGAAGUAUUUCAUGGAGAUGACCCAUCUCUGGCAAGAGCUUAAUCUGAGCAUUGACGAGGAGUGGGAGUGCUCCGGCAACUGCACACGAUACUGAGGGAGGCUCGAAAACGAAAGGAUCUUUGAGUUUCUUAUUGACCUCAACUGAAAUUUGGACGACGUAAGGGGACGCAUCCUUGGCCGAUAACCUCUUCCUUCAACCCGAGAGGUCUUCGCAGAAGUUAGGAGGGAGAAAAGUAGGGGGCAUAUGAUGUUGAGGCCCCAAGGUGAUAGGGUCAGGCUAGACCUAUCCGUAUCCACCUCAAAUUCAAAUGGGAACACUAAUGGGCUUGAUGUUUCAACCCUUGUAUCAAAAGGCCUAGGGGGAUCCAGUCAACGACCACAAAAAGGUUAAUUACGGUGUGAACAUUGCCGCAAAACAAGCCAUUCAAAAGAUGCCUGCUGGGAGAUUCAUGGAAAAUCGGUAGAUUGGAAGCCGAGACAAUACCAAAAGAAUUGUGGGUACCAGGCGAGCACAGAUGAGUCAACUGAAAAAUUACAAGGAGAAAAAACCAAUAACACCUCCCCAAGUAGUGCAUUUAGUCUUGAGCAGUUAGAUCAGCUGUAUAAAAUGAUUUUGUCAAUUCAAACAUCGAGUCAGUCUUCCUCCGGUUCCUUGGCUCACCGAGGACUUGUCAUCGAGGAAGAUGAUUGGCACUGCUAAGGCAUAUGAGGAAUUCUACUACUUUGAGAAGGCAAGCUUGAGUGAACUAUGUAAUACUGCAAUUUGUGAUUCUGCAUCUAUUUCUAGAGAUAGUGAACUUUUGUUAUGACAUUCAAGGAUGGGUCAUCCCAAUUUCCAAUAUUUAAAACUUUUGUUUCUU